UUUCUAAAAAUCGCUGACAAU
ensembl:piRNA 21ur-14007 ncRNA